rnacentral:rRNA from 1 species
UACGAAGGGGGGCUAGCGUUGUUCGGAUUAACUGGGCGUAAAGGGUGCGUAGGCGGGUUUUUAAGUCAGGGGUGAAAUCCCAGAGCUCAACUCUGGAAGCUGCCUUUGAUACUGGGUAUCUCGAGUAUGGAAGAGGUGAGUGGAAUUCCGAGUGUAGAGGUGAAAUUCGUAGAUAUUCGGAGGAACACCAGUGGCGAAGGCGGCUCACUGGUCCAUUACUGACGCUGAGGCGCGAAAGCUAGGGGAGCAAACAGG